AUUGAACGCUGGCGGCAUGCCUUACACAUGCAAGUCGAACGGCAGCACGGGAGCAAUCCUGGUGGCGAGUGGCGAACGGGUGAGUAAUAUAUCGGAACGUGCCCAGUCGUGGGGGAUAACGCAGCGAAAGCUGUGCUAAUACCGCAUACGAUCUAUGGAUGAAAGCGGGGGAUCGCAAGACCUCGCGCGAUUGGAGCGGCCGAUAUCAGAUUAGCUAGUUGGUGAGGUAAAGGCCCACCAAGGCGACGAUCUGUAGCUGGUCUGAGAGGCCGACCAGCCACACUGGAACUGAGACACGGUCCAGACUCCUACGGGAGGCAGCAGUGGGGAAUUUUGGACAAUGGGCGAAAGCCUGACCCAGCAAUGCCGCGUGCAGGAUGAAGGCCUUCGGGUUGUAAACUGCUUUUGUACGGAACGAAACGGUGAGCUCUAAUACAGUUUGCUAAUGACGGUACCGUAAGAAUAAGCACCGGCUAACUACGUGCCAGCAGCCGCCGUAA
rnacentral:rRNA from 1 species